AACAGCUAACUCUUUCCCAGGAGCCAAAAGCUGCCUCUCUUUGCCGUGGUAGGAGCCCCGAGCCCUGCCGCUGCUUCGCCGUCCCUUCAGCCGACCUUACUGCAAGCAAGCCCGGAGCCAAAGCGCUGAAGGCCGCGCAGAGGGAGCCGGGAGAAGAUCUUGACACCACCUGCGCCGAAGUAUUCUAAUUAAGGCCUGGCUCCCAGACCUGAUUAAGCAGCCCCCGCAUCUGACUCCAGUCUGCAGUCAUCCCCGCAAGGCAGGAACUCAAGCUUAUUUUGAGUGAAUGGGAACAAUCUGGAAGGAACAAUGAGAUGUGCUAUUACCAUGUUCGGGAAGAUGAUGGGUGGAGAUUUGACUUUACACUCCGAGGCAAUGAGCAUAGCUCUUUCAGCUGGCACCUCCUUGAUUCUCAUGCCAACAGGCACGCUCUCACUGACUAUGCUGACAUAGAGACUGGCCCCCUGCACCACCUGCCAGAACCCGAAGGCACAUGACCUCAGAAAGGAUGCCAGCCAAAGUCAACACAGGCACAGCAAUGAAGAGAGAAGAUUUAAUGUUACCACAAGCCCAAGUGGAGAAGACCCAAAAUCUGUGGCUUCAGCUAUUAUCUGGCAAUAACCAACCAAAUGUGCAUUUCCAGCAUGGAUUUCUCCCUUACACUCCAGAAUCAUAUACCCGCUUGCUUAUUUGACAUGUCCACUUCGCUACCUAACAGAGAAUCCUGACUAAUGCAAGGCCCAAGAGAAGACAGGGAAUUCUUAACCAAAGCAACAGAGGAAACCAAGACAGAAAAUGAUAAGACAAGCAUAAAUUCAUGGACUAUUCUGAGAUUCAGAUAAUGCAAACACACGUAAGACUAUCAAGUUCAGAGUAUUCAGAGAUUUAAACAAAGGUUUAUGUCACAGAGGCAAGAGUUUAGUCAGAAGCAGGAAGAUUGGGAAGUAAAGGAGUCCUGGGGAUUGUGAGAAAGCUAGGAAAAUGUUUAUGAUUAUAUAAAGAUGUAUAGUAAGGCUUGAUUAACUUUAAAGUCAAGGGAAUGGGAAAUAGUUUCAGUGAAACUCUGGAAAACAUAGUCAGAAGAAGACAAAGCAAAAAUGAUUGAACAGAAGCUGUUUGAAAGUUAUAUUCAAAAUUAAGUAAUAAGACAGAGGCUUUAAGAAGGCCAAGAAAGAAAAGAAGACAUUUUUAUCAGCUGUAAUCAAUGGAAAGAGACUAAGUUAAGAACUGAAAUAAAUCCACUGAUUUAACUAUUUGCAGGCCAUGUCCUUGUCAAUGGCUUUCUGUAGACUGAUGAGGAUGGAAAGCAGAAAUCAGUUAGUUGUCAAAUAAAUGACAGAAGAGGACCUGCAGAGAUUAAGCAAACACUACAUUUUCAAACUCAAGUGUAGUUGUAAAGAGAAAAAUAAUAACAGGAUAGCUAGAGGAAGAUAGGCACUAAGGGUGGUUUGUUUUGCUUUCAGAAAGAUAUUUGAGCAUUGAAUAUGUUUUUCUGUUAUGUGACAAACAUGAAAUCUAGAUUGAACUGCUUAAACAACAGGGAAUUUAUUGAUUCUUUAAAGUAAAAUGAUCCAGAGUAGAUCAGCUUUAGGAAUGGUUUGGUAAGAGUUUCUGCUUCUCUAGUAAGAACUGAUCACUGGAUUCAGCAGUGGGGUCAGCUUCUUUGGGAUCUCUGGUUUCCCCAGUUAGAGACUGUUGGUGAGAUGAAGGAAAAGGAGAUGAUGGGUGCUGGGAGAAAACCAGAAGGUGGUUCCCGUAUAGUCUACAUCUUUGGUAUAAACAUACCUUUCAUCUCAGAUACACACUUUCAGAAAUGCCUGUGCCAUGUGAAAUAUACUUCCUCCCUUCCCAAAUGGAGCAAACUCAAAAUCCCUUCCAGUUACUGCAUCUAGGACAAGCCCAGGGUCUCUGUGUCAGGUGCAGUCUUCUCCAAGAAGAAUGGUUCAGGUACCUGUAGCUAUGUGAGAAGUUGUCCACCACACAACAUCUAGCAUUUAUUAGUGGAGGGAGAACAGGAUCAUCACAGUAAAACUUCCCACUUGGAGAAAAGGAUAACUGAAGUCAACAGUGGGUGCUCUCAGUCAUGCCUAAAUGGAACAGUUCCUAGGGGAGCUUUCUGGAGAAGCUGCAUUGUCCACUCCCUCCUGCCCGUUACAGCAUCAGAAAUGAGUGGAUGGUACUGCUGCCUUGUCUGGAAACUGACUACUUUUAGCAGCCAACUUUCUGCUAAUGUGAAUUUGGGGUCUAGGAAAAGAUCAAAGGGUUGAGCAGAUAGGCUAUUUUAGCUAGGCUUGGUUGAGUUUUAUUAGCAAUACUGCUGUCAUAGGAAAUAAAGAUUCUUAUCUAUUUGUUUCCAGCCCAUAUAAAGGGCAAGCAGUUAAAGCCAUAGAUAUUAUCUGCUAAGAGUUGUUAAACCCAGACCUGGGCCUAAAAUAUCUGUUUCCUAGUAGCCCAGUUUUGGUUUCCCUCAACUCCUAGACCUCAGUAAAUAGUUUCCACCCCAAAUCAUCUGACUGACAAGACAAAUAUAAUAUGCUUCUUGCCCCCUGCCUGCAUCCCAGGUGUUUCCCCUAAACAGGAGUGAUGUUUUAUCUUUCGACAGGCAGAGAAUUUGUAAUUGAGGAAGUGGGAAUAAGAUUGGGAAAUCAGGCCCCUCCUGUACCUUAAAUUUAUCUCUCUCUCUCUGCUUCUGCUUAUAUUAACCUCCACUUAGGGCCAGGAAUAUGGUCUUCCAACCCUACAAGAAACCAGAUAAUCCAAGUCAUUUUUUGGUAACAGUCUGCAGGCAGAAGACAUUCCUUAACAAAACAUAUUUUUUCUCCUUCCAACUUUCAGGAGACCUAAUUUCAAAUGAAGCAUAUCUCUUUAUCACAAGACAUUACUGAACAUUAAAAGAAGACUUCAACACAUUUAAGCAUUCUGACCUUUCUUACAUGAUCCUUAUCCAAGGGUUCAAUAGGCCAUAGUUUAAAAAAUUCUUUUGUAACUACAAAUUAGGAAGGCCAACUUCACAGGGCAAGACAGAACAAUUCUCUACCUACUCUUUUCUUGGUUCCACCAGUUCCACAAUUUCACUCACAACAUCCUAUUUUCUUUCGCUGAAGUCGUUAUCAGUGUAGCUCAGGAAGACUCAUUGUGCUGCAACAAUAAAUGUGGCUGGUCAGUCAGUAGUUUGGCUUCGGUUUGUUUAUCUCAUGCAUUUGAACAAGUCCAGAGACAGUAGAGUCUUCAGUUAAUUUUUUAUCAAGGCUCCGUUUCUCCGGCUGUCUCUCAGGUCUGCUAAUAUUUGAGCAGGAAAUUCAUCCCCAGGCUGGCUUCUCUUAGAGUAAUAAGGUUAUGCCGACUUCACAUCUGCAAACCACAGAAACCUUGAAUUCCCACAGUAUUCUCUAGAAUUUGAUUGGAUUUGUGAUUGACACAUAUCUGCUACUGAACUAAUCUACAGGUCCAGGCAGGUCACAUGAGCUGAGUGAUCAAGUCUUAGCAAGAUUCUUCAGAACUGAAUUCAUCCACUCAAGAGCCAUAUGGAUUCUCAAAACUAGAAACCAGCAGCUGUGGAAGUUGCAGUAAAACCAUAAAUUUGAGAAACAUUUAAUUAAUGCCACUAUAAUAUUAAGAAGAGAAAUUGAAGACAUAGUAAAGUAGGAAUUUUUCAAAGGAGGAAGAUCCUUUGAAGAGAUGAAAGUAAAGUGGGAAGGGAUCAUGUUCAAGUAGGACAAAAAUAUGUCAUAUUGCCAUAUAUUAAUUACUUAAUAAUCCAAAUUGUAUUUUACAAUAGUCAUCACCACUGCCUGCAUUUCCAAAGUCAACCUGUCUAACCUGGAAACAGACUACUCUUGGUUUUAUUUCCAGUGAAAUUUUUGUUGAGAUAAUUAUAGAUUCACAUGCAGUUGUAAAAAAAAUAGUAACAGAGAAAUGCAGUAUAUACUUCACCCAGUUUGCCCACCAGUGACAUUAAAAAAGAAAAAAAAGACACAGGAGAUUAUAGUAGCCAGGAUAUUUUUUUUUUCAGAUUUACAUUGAUACAAUGCACCACCUCUCUUGGAUUUUGAAACAAAUUUGAAGACAGUGUAAUUGAUUCAUAAAAGGGGAAAAAGCAGUUCAGCUGAGCAAGUUUUUGUCUGAAAACUUAUAUUGCUUCUGAGGAAAAACAGUUAUCUUCAAUAAUGAGAUGUAUGGGAAAAACUGGGGAGGAAGGUGGUCAUGGUGAAUCAUACUGAAAAUACCAGCAUUUUUCGAGAAAACUUUGCAUACAUUGUAGUCCAUAUUAAGACGCUAGUGAUCUUCUAUUUGUCAUUAGCUGUUAUAUGGUAAGAGCUGUUGUUUUAACAUUGUUCUGCUUUUCUAGUAAAAAGCUUGAGAAGAUGUGAUAAAAGUAGUUAUAAAACAUUUCAGAGCAGACUGGUUUUAAAUCAAGGUGAUUAAAACUAAUUAUUUCUAAGUUUCUAUUAUUUAUAGUUAAUUAGUUACUUUGCCUGCUUAAAAUUUCUUUAACCAUGCAUUCCAAAUUCAUUAAAAAUAGCAUUGUAUUUUAGUAUCAAAAUAAACACAAAGCAUGAGAAACAAAA